rnacentral:rRNA from 1 species
CGCGUGGGAAUAUGCCCUUCACUACGGAAUAGCCUCGGGAAACUGAGAGUAAUACCGUAUACGCCCUUCGGGGGAAGGAUUUAUCGGUGAAGGAUUAGCCCGCGUUGGAUUAGGUAGUUGGUGGGGUAAAAGCCUACCAAGCCGACGAUCCAUAGCUGGUUUGAGAGGAUGAUCAGCCACACUGGAACUGAGACACGGUCCAGACUCCUACGGGAGGCAGCAGUGGGGAAUAUUGCACAAUGGGCGAAAGCCUGAUGCAGCCAUGCCGCGUGUGUGAAGAAGGCUCUAGGGUUGUAAAGC